AGAAGCUAUUCCCAGAUCCAGGCAUGAGAAGCUUCUGUCAGCUGUAUUGAACCUGGCUAUGAGCACUCCAGCUGAAAACAACAACCACCAUUCUUUUAACCUUCAAUAUUUACUUCACUUAGGUGCCAUGCAUCAGUCAAUGUACAGGGUGGACCUGCACUGGGGAUGAAUUAGGGCUGUGUAGUAAAGGAUACUAUUGUG